GCACUGGUGGUUCAGUGGUAGAAUGCUUGCCUUUCAUGAAGGAGACCUGGCUUCAAUUCCCAGCCAGUGCA